GAUGAACGCUGGCGGCGUGCCUAAUACAUGCAAGUCGAGCGAACAGAUGAGGAGCUUGCUCCUCUGACGUUAGCGGCGGACGGGUGAGUAACACGUGGAUAACCUACCUAUAAGACUGGGAUAACUUCGGGAAACCGGAGCUAAUACCGGAUAAUAUAUUGAACCGCAUGGUUCAAUAGUGAAAGACGGUUUUGCUGUCACUUAUAGAUGGAUCCGCGCCGCAUUAGCUAGUUGGUAAGGUAACGGCUUACCAAGGCAACGAUGCGUAGCCGACCUGAGAGGGUGAACGGCCACACGGGAACUGAGACACGGUCCAGACUCCUACGGGAGGCAGCAGUAGGGAAUCUUCCGCAAUGGGCGAAAGCUUGACGGAGCAACGCCGCGUGAGUGAUGAAGGUCUUCGGAUCGUAAAACUCUGUUAUUAGGGAAGAACAAAUGUGUAAGUAACUAUGCACGUCUUGACGGUACCUAAUCAGAAAGCCACGGCUAACUACGUG
rnacentral:rRNA from 1 species